UUCUUUUAUUUCUCCCUUAUUCCCUCUUUCUUUCCCUCAUUUCAAUUUUGCUGCUCUCUUCCCAUUUUCUCUGCUACACUUGUGCACCUUGACCCUCUCUCCAGCAACCAUGAACGCCUCCAUCAUUGAUCCGUUGCAGGGCGAUUUCCCUGAAGUGAUAGAGGAGUAUUUGGAAUAUGGUUGUAUGAAAUGCAUUGCCUUCAAUCGCCGUGGCACCCUUCUUGCUGCUGGAUGCAACAAUGGAAGUUGUGUUAUUUGGGAUUUUGAAACCAGAGGCAUUGCUAAGAUUCUGCGUGAUGAUGAAUGUUCUUCUCCCAUAACUAGCAUUUGCUGGUCAAAGUAUGGUCAUCAAAUUCUUGUAUCUGCUGCUGAUAAAUCAUUGAUAUUGUGGGAUGUUAUGAGUAGUAAGAAGAUAACACGGAUAGUUUUGCAACAAACCCCUCUACAAGCUCGUCUUCAUCCAGGAUCCUCGACCCCAUCUCUUUGCUUAGCAUGUCCUCUUUCAUGUGCUCCAAUGAUUGUUGAUCUGAACACAGGAAACACAACUUUACUUAAAGUUUCUGUCUUAGAGACAUGCAAUGGACCAACACCAACCCCUCCUUCACGUAAUAAAUGUUCUGAUGGAAUUACCUCCUUCACACCAACUGCUGCUUGUUUUAAUAAGUAUGGGACUCUGGUUUAUGUGGGAAACUCAAAAGGGGAAAUUCUUGCCAUUGAUUACAAAAAUGGUGACGUGCGUGCUGUAGUUCCAAUCUCUGGUGGUUCUGUUGUAAAGAACAUUGUGUUCAGCAGGAAUGGGCAGUAUCUGCUCACAAAUUCAAAUGAUCGAAUAAUUCGAAUCUAUGAAAACCGUCUACCCCUGAAAGAUGAAGUCAGAGCCCUUGAUGACCUGAGUGAGAACCACAAUGUUCUAAAUAAUAUCGAGAAUUUGAAGGCUGUUGGAUCAAAAUGUUUAACUUUAUUCCGGGAAUUUCAAGAUUCCAUCACGAAGGUACACUGGAAAGCACCUUGUUUCAGUGGUGAUGGUGAGUGGGUAGUCGGUGGUUCUGCUAGCAAAGGUGAGCACAAGAUUUACAUAUGGGAUAGAGCUGGACAUCUUGUGAAAAUCCUUGAAGGGCCUAAGGAAGCUCUGAUAGAUUUAGCAUGGCAUCCUGUGCAUCCUAUUGUUGUAUCUGUUUCGCUGAAUGGUUUGGUUUAUAUAUGGGCAAAAGAUUAUACUGAGAACUGGAGUGCAUUUGCUCCUGAUUUCAAGGAGCUUGAGGAAAAUGAGGAGUAUGUAGAGCGUGAAGAUGAAUUUGAUCUGAUUCCUGAGACUGAGAAGGUGAAAGGACCUGAUGUUAAUGAAGAUGAGGAAGUUGACAUUAUAACAGUGGAGAAAGAUGCUGCUUUCAGUGAUUCUGAUAUGUCUCAAGAAGAGCUAUGUUACUUGCCAUCAACCCCUAGUCGUGAUGUUCCUGAGCAGCAAGAGAAGUGUGUAGAAAGUUCUUCUAAGUUGUUGGACAGCAAUAACACUGGAUCCCCUCUUUCGGAAGAAGCUGGACCAAAUGGACAUAUGAUGAAUCAUGCAUCUAGUCCUCUUGAAGAUGAUGCUGGGCGCAUGAAAAGAAAGCGGAAACCUUCAGAGAAGGUGUUGGAAUUACAAGCAGAAAAAGUUAAGAAACCCUCAAAAUCUAGCAAAUUGGCAAAACCUAAGAGCAAAUCUUUGGCCGAUCAAGAUAAUGGUUUGAGCAGUGUUAUUAAAAAGCGGCCAUGGCGGAAUGGCGUCGCGGAAUUUUGGAAAAACGCCACCAAAUAGCAGUGGCGUUGCGGGUUGCUUAUGGCGGCCAUGGCGGAAUCACGUGAAUGACGGAAUAGCGGAUUUUUUUAUUUUAAAAAACGUGCGUGACAGGGGUUGGGCUGACCCGAGCCAACCAUACCCGAGUUUCUCCUCUUCAGCGGCACGACCAGCAGCAGUCUCCAGCGCGACGAAUGGCGGUGUGGGCGCCGGCGACACAAACGACAACCGCAGACGACGUUCUCGAGCAUGACGGCAGCAGACCAGCAGACGACGCAUGCGAGAGACAGACGACCGACGACCAAUGCACCAACGCACGUCGACGGCGACGGCAGUGCUCUGAUAAUGCAACAAAUCACAAAGUUGUAGGAAAAAUGACGGAGUUAAAGAAAAGAUUUGGUGGAAUCUGCCAUUACUUGUUUCCCACAUCAUACCUAAGUUUAGGAUGCCUCUCAAUGACAACAAGG